rnacentral:rRNA from 1 species
UGGGGAAUUUUGGACAAUGGGCGCAAGCCUGAUCCAGCCAUGCCGCGUGCGGGAAGAAGGCCUUCGGGUUGUAAACCGCUUUUGUCAGGGAAGAAAUCUUCUGAGUUAAUACCUCGGGAGGAUGACGGUACCUGAAGAAUAAGCGCCGGCUAACUACGUGCCAGCAGCCGCGGUAAUACGUAGGGUGCAAGCGUUAAUCGGAAUUACUGGGCGUAAAGCGUGCGCAGGCGGUUUUGUAAGACAGAGGUGAAAUCCCCGGGCUCAACCUGGGAACUGCCUUUGUGACUGCAAGGCUUGAGUGCGGCAGAGGGGGGAUGGAAUUCCGCGUGUAGCAGUGAAAUGCGUAGAUAUGCGGAGGAACACCGAUGGCGAAGGCAAUCCCCUGGGCCUGCACUGACGCUCAUGCACGAAAGCGUGGGGAGCAAACAGGAUUAGAUACCCUGGUAGUCACGCCCUAAACGAUGUCAACUGGUUGUUGGGAAGGUUCCUUCUCAGUAACGUAGCUAACGCGUGAAGUUGACCGCCUGGGGAGUACGGCCGCAAGGUU